rnacentral:rRNA from 1 species
CUUGACAUCCUCUGACAAUCCUAGAGAUAGGACGUCCCCUUCGGGGGCAGAGUGACAGGUGGUGCAUGGUUGUCGUCAGCUCGUGUCGUGAGAUGUUGGGUUAAGUCCCGCAACGAGCGCAACCCUUGAUCUUAGUUGCCAGCAUUCAGUUGGGCACUCUAAGGUGACUGCCGGUGACAAACCGGAGGAAGGUGGGGAUGACGUCAAAUCAUCAUGCCCCUUAUGACCUGGGCUACACACGUGCUACAAUGGACAGAACAAAGGGCAGCGAAACCGCGAGGUUAAGCCAAUCCCACAAAUCUGUUCUCAGUUCGGAUCGCAGUCUGCAACUCGACUGCGUGAAGCUGGAAUCGCUAGUAAUCGCGGAUCAGCAUGCCGCGGUGAAUACGUUCCCGGGCCUUGUACACACCGCCCGUCACACCACGAGAGUUUGUAACACCCGAAGUCGGUGAGGUAACCUUUUAGGAGCCAGCCGCCGAAGGUGGGACAGAUGAUUGGGGUGAAGUCGUAACAAGGUAGCCGUAUCGGAAGGUGCGGCUGGAUCACCUCCUUUCUA